UACAGAGGGGGCAAGCGUUAUUCGGAAUUAUUGGGCGUAAAGGGCGCGUAGGCGGUCAGCACAAGUCAGUUGUGAAAUCUCCGGGCUUAACUCGGAAAGGUCAACUGAUACUGUGCGACUAGAGUGCAGAAGGGGCAACUGGAAUUCUCGGUGUAGCGGUGAAAUGCGUAGAUAUCGAGAGGAACACCUGCGGCGAAGGCGGGUUGCUGGGCUGACACUGACGCUGAGGCGCGAAAGCCAGGGGAGCGAACAGG
rnacentral:rRNA from 1 species